rnacentral:rRNA from 1 species
AGUGAACGCUGGCGGUAGGCCUAACACAUGCAAGUCGAACGGCAGCACAGUAAGAGCUUGCUCUUACGGGUGGCGAGUGGCGGACGGGUGAGGAAUACAUCGGAAUCUACUUUUUCGUGGGGGAUAACGUAGGGAAACUUACGCUAAUACCGCAUACGACCUACGGGUGGAAGCAGGGGAUCUUCGGACCUUGCGCGAUUGCAUGAGCCGAUGUCGGAUUAGCUAGUUGGCGGGGUAAAGGCCCACCAAGGCGACGAUCCGUAGCUGGUCUGAGAGGAUGAUCAGCCACACUGGAACUGAGACACGGUCCAGACUCCUACAGGAGGCAGCAGUGGGGAAUAUUGGACAAUGGGCGCAAGCCUGAUCCAGCCAUACCGCGUGGGUGAAGAAGGCCUUCGGGUUGUAAAGCCCUUUUGUUGGGAAAGAAAAGCAGCAGGUUAAUACCCCGCUGUUCUGACGGUACCCAAAGAAUAAGCACCGGCUAACUUCGUG